rnacentral:lncRNA from 1 species
GGGGGUAACGUGACAAAUUUUGUUCUUCACUGGUUUGUUUUUUUGUAAUCUCUCACUGUCCGGCCUUUUUAUUUAUCACUCUCUUUGCUCCAUCCUUUUUAAUUAGCUUAUUCUGACUUUUUUUUUACAUAAACUGUCAUCCUGCCUUUUUUUGGGCUAAGUUGAUCGUUCUGCCUUUUUUCAAAUUUCAUCAUAGCAACACCCCCCCCCUUUUCCAACACACACACACACCCCUCUCGGAAAAAACCGACUGGUACCUCCGUAAAUUAUCAAUAGGUACAGGUACACAUGGCUUUAGAGAAAUCCUUAGCAUUGGUAUCUCAAAUAGAGGAAAGAC